CCUACGGGAGGCAGCAGUGGGGAAUUUUGGACAAUGGGCGCAAGCCUGAUCCAGCCAUGCCGCGUGCGGGAAGAAGGCCUUCGGGUUGUAAACCGCUUUUGUCAGGGAAGAAAAGCUCCGGGCUAAUACCUCGGGGUCAUGACGGUACCUGAAGAAUAAGCACCGGCUAACUACGUGCCAGCAGCCGCGGUAAUACGUAGGGUGCAAGCGUUAAUCGGAAUUACUGGGCGUAAAGCGUGCGCAGGCGGUUGUGCAAGACAGAUGUGAAAUCCCCG
rnacentral:rRNA from 1 species